rnacentral:misc_RNA from 1 species
UCUCCGUAGGUGAACCUGCGGAAGGACCAUUAAUAAUAUAUGGCCACAGGGCACGCUUUCCGAAAGGAACGUGCUUGCUGCGUGAACCCUACCUACCCUUGCUUUUUGCGUACCCAUAGUUUCCUCGGCAGGCUGGCCUGCCUGUAGGCCCCUCUUAAACCCUUUGUAAUUGCAAUGAGCGUCAGAAACAACGUAAUCGUUACAACUUUCAACAACGGAUCUCUUGGUUCUA